rnacentral:tRNA from 1 species
GUCUAGGUAGUUUAAUGGAUAAAAUGUUUCCCUCCGACGGAGAAGAUGGGGGUUCGAUUCCCUUCCUAGACACCA